AAACUAACAAGGAUUCCCCUAGUAACGGCGAGUGAAGAGGGAAGAGCCCAAGAUUGAAAGCUGGCGCCUUCGGCGUCCGCAUUGUAAUCUCAAGAAGUGUUUUCCGCUUCGGACCAUGCCUAAGUCCCUUGGAAAAGGGCAUCAUAGAGGGUGAUAAUCCCGUACAUGGCAUGGAGCGCCCGAGGCUUUGUGAUACGCUUUCUAAGAGUCGAGUUGUUUGGGAAUGCAGCUCAAAAUGGGUGGUAAAUGCCAUCUAAGGCUAAAUAUUGGGGAGAGACCGAUAGCGAACAAGUACAGUGAUGGAAAGAUGAAAAGAACUUUGAAAAGAGAGUUAAACAGUACGUGAAAUUGCCAAAAGGGAAGGGUAGGAGGUCAGAGAUGCGUCUUGGGAUUCAGCCUUGCUUUUGCUUGGUGUUUUUCCCAAGUUGCAGGCCAACGUCGGUUUUGGGCACUGGAGAAGGGUGGAAGGAACGUGGCACCUCUCGGGGUGUGUUAUAGCCUUCUACUGGAUACAGCGACCGA
rnacentral:rRNA from 1 species